UCUCUCUCUCUCUCUCUCUCUCUCUCUCUCUCUCUCUCUCUGUGUGUGUGUGUGUGUGUGUGUGUGAGAGAGAGAGAGAGAGAGAGAGAGAGAGAGAGAGAGA